rnacentral:lncRNA from 1 species
AUGCAAGACCAGCUGAAAGUAAGAAUUCCUUGGACUUGCCCCAGGAGCUUUCCACUAAAAGGGAAAAGUUUGAUUAUUCUUGAGAGUACAAGGAGCAGGUGGGCUGUAACGUGCUGGCUCCCACAUCUGCAGUUCCAUGUAUUCAGUAUGUCAUUCAAGGUGGAUAGAGUUUCAUCAAUCUUCAAAAUGUGCAAUGGGAUAAAUUCCCAGUGUUUAAUUUUUCACCGUCUCAAAACUUCAGUCACAGAAGAAGAAAAGCAAAAACAAAAAAAACAAACCGUGCUUACAGAAUAUAAAGAAAUAUCUUUACUCAGAAAGAAAUAAAAUUCUAACAGUAAAAUACAUAUUCAUCUUGUAUUUCAUUUCAACACAGUGCUUUAAAAGGGGAAGUCCAGAUACUUAUUUGUGUUAAAAAAAAAAAAAUCAACAAUUUUUUCUAAUUGUUUUGAAGAUUCUUGUUGCAUUUCUAUUCAGAGACAAGGCGUUUGAAUGUUUAUUUUUUUUCUGUUUACUUUUAAAGGUUGUUUUUAUCAUUUAAGUACCCUUCACACUUUAAAAAUAGAUGUUAUGAUCAAUGAUAAAACAAUAUUACGUGUAAAAUAGUUAUUAAUUUUAAGCUGAAGUUGUUAAAUGGUGAAUAACAGGGAACUGGCCUGUGUCCCCAAAAAAAUCUUUUCCAGUUUCUGUAGAAAUGUAUGCUUCAUUGUCUCUACAACUUUGAAAUACAUUAUGUCACUCAGGACCUGUUUGUUAGCAAAGUAACUCACUGGAUAAUAUAAUAAUCAUGUCUUAUGUUUAGAUGUGUUAAUAAAGCAGCUUGUGGCUGCCA